rnacentral:rRNA from 1 species
CCUACGGGGAGCAGCAGUGGGGGCUAUUGCACAAUGGUGGGAACCCUGAUGCAGCGACGCCGCGUGGGUGAAGAAGCGCCUCGGCGCGUAAAGCCCUGUCAGCAGGGAAGAAAAUGACGGUAACUGAAGAAGAAGCCCCGGCUAAGUACGUGCCAGCAGCCGCGGUAAUACGUAGGGGGCAAGCGUGAUCCGGAUUUACUGGGUGUAAAGUGGACGCAGACGGCGAUGCAAGCCAGGAGUGAACGCCCGGGGCACAACCCCGGGACUGGUCUUGGACAUGCGUGGCUGGAGUGCAGGAGGGGCAGGCGGAAUUCCUGGUGUAGCGGUGAAAUGCGUAGAUAUCAGGAGGAACACCGGUGGCGAAGGCGGCCUGCUGGACUGCAACUGACGUUGAGGCCCGAAAGCGUGGGGAGCAAACAGGAUUAGAUACCCGGGUAGUC